rnacentral:lncRNA from 1 species
GGGAGGAAAAGAAAAACAUCAAAGAGCGCCAAAGAGACUGUUGAGGUAACUUUAAAAUCGCUGGAUUGUAACUUCAUUGUUGACUCGGAGGAGAACAGUCAAUACUGUACGGCGUCUUAGAGAUGAGGCUGUUGUUAACUUUUGAAAAUUGUCUCGGAGUCUCCUGGGUGAUGUGCUGCACUUUAGCAAACAUCGUGUUGAGUGAUAAUAAUACGCUGUGUCAGCGAAACCCCCGCUUCCACUCUGUAUGCCCCUGUAGUUUUUUAAAGUGACACUCUGCAGCAACAUUUUGUCACAAAAUCGAUCCCUUCCAGCACCAGAGAGUGGGUUUGAAGGAGAAAACAGAACUACAGCAAGAUUCUAUGUCCUAGAAACUUAUGUGCUUGAGCCAAAGACAGGGAAAUAUCUUCAAGAUCAUGGCCAGAAAUCUGUUCACAGUCAAAUGAGCUUGUUAUGGAUAUGAGGUUUUUAGGACACAACUGUGAAAGUGUAAAAAGAGUUGAUGAUGAACGGGCUCUCGCACACUUGCCCGUGUUUGGGCUCAUAGCAGCCAUGAUGGAUUGAGAUGCUGAACCUAACCCGGGUCAGUCCUGUCAGCGUGAACCAAAUGCACAGUGAAUCUGUACAGGCCAAGAUUUUCAGCUUUGGUGGUUAAGAGCACAUAGAUGGAACUAAGACUUGGAGCAGGUCAGUAUUCAAAGGUGGGGUAGGCAGGAUCUGAGGAAGUGCCACUUUUUUGGAGAAAUCUUGAAUGUAAACUCUACCCCUCCCAACCAGUUUUCCCCUCAGUUCCUCCUCUCCCCUCCCACUCUGCUCCUGCAAGCCCCGCCCACAAACAGACGCUCCUGCUCGCUCUUAUCGUUCCAAUCAAAUUCAGAUGUAAUGCAGAUAAAUACUUUAGAUAAUUACAAAUGGGGCUCAGUCAAUGUAAAAGUCAAAAGCAUUGGUGCUACUGCAGAUGCCAACAGACUACCAGCAAACACAAUGUUUGCAGGACUUCUACAACUAUGAUAAAGUGACAUACUCCAGGACCUGAGGUAAACCUGGAUUUUGGUCAGGGGCAAGACCCCCUAAACAUUGAACACUACAAAAAACCUCCUAACAUCCUCUUAUUUGUCUGUUUGCCUUUCUAGAAAUGGGACUUCAAAUAAACUGGAGAGCCAGCAUUGCAACACUGGGAACACAUACUUCUUGCCACCCCUGCAGUGUGAGUGCUCACGUUGGGCCACCCCAGUCAAAAAGGUUUAGACACGCCCCUGCUUGUUUUUAUAUACCCUGCCUGUUUUAGCUGAGCAGCAGUUGGAUCCAUGCUGAACACAGAAUUAUACAGAGAGGACUACAGUGAAAGAAUGACACUCAACUCACAGGUAAAAGUGAGACAACUUGUCUCUGCGCUCCCUCCAGUUAAAUCAGAGCAGAUUGCCCUUUAAUCCUUCAAAAGAAAUGACAGGUUGAUCUAUCCAGAUCAUAAAAAGAGGAAAAUGUCUCUAAUGAAAUCAUGAUCCUAAAACUGCAUCCUAAAAAUGAAUUUUAUUCUACUGUCUGUAUCCUUGAAGAGCAGCAGCUGCUUUUACGCGCUUCACUCAUCUUAUCAAUAGUCUGCAGGUGAACAAUAGUCACCCCACUGUUGUAGCUGUUGCAGGGACUGACCUCAAGCAACCCAUAUACCCACCAAACACCCAACGUCAUUUAGACGUCUUUUGUCAGGCUAAAUCCCGUCAGCCUGUCAUGGCCGUUAUUUAGCCCCAAAAAAGACGUUGAAAACUGGGCUUCAUUUAGACGGUCCGAAUUUAGACGUUGUUUAGAGGUAUGGUGAAGACGUCUAUUCUACAUCUUUUCAACCUCUUUUUGCUGGGUGGGUAAUCUAGAAAUGUUCCAUGAUCAUUCUUACAGUAACAAUACUAACUGUGAAAAAUACACUGUCUAUUAGUCAUAACUCCCAGUUUUGAUGUAUCUGUCUGCAGCAUGUUGCUCCUCAAUACAGUUUUUUCCUUUCACAGCCUCUUAGCAAACGUCAACAUACAGCUAACAUUAGCAUGCAGCUGCCUCAGGUUUAAGAAUAAAGAUCCUAGAAGAAGCAAUCUUAGCAAAAGCAUAACGUUUAUUUUUUUAUUGGAGGUGUAAAAGAUUAUGUUGGUUUCUGUUUCUAAUCAUAUUUACGAGCCGACAAUAUGAUUCAUUACUUAGAUGUGCACAAAUGUUAGCCAAAGACCAUCAAACCGUCAUCUCUUUUAUGACCUGAUCUCUGUUCAUAGUCUGUUUGGCUGGUUGAUAUCAAUCAGAGAGCUGUGAAAUGACCCCUGUUCGUCCGAGUAUCAAGGUUUAUUCCACUUACAGCCUGGGACACUGUUAUAAUUAUGAUAUACGAGUUUCCCACUCUGAGCCGGACACCUCUGAGGAGAAUAUUGUCAAUGAGCACCAGUGAGUCUGCUGGUGGGUUAAACCUUGUCUGACUCUCUCUGGGAUUAUAUGGUCUCUACACCGGGCCUUGCUGAGUGUCAAUUACACACUUUUGUUGUCCUCUACCUUUGUGUACAUGAGCAAAACUCUCUUCAGUCUGAACUUAUAAAUAUGUGAUAAUUAUAGUGUGUGUUUCCACUUUGAGAGAGGCCAUAUGGUUCAACCUCUUUGUAGAGUUCGCUAAAUUGGAAAUUAAACAGUCCAGCUGCUCUUCUAAUUGCUGCAUUCGGUGUCUUUUUGCUCUACGAAAAGAAAGAGGAGGCUUAAUGGGUAAUUAAGUCAAAGAAAAUAAGAAAAGAAAAGAGAUAAAGCAAAAGAAAGUGGGAGUGCAGGAAAGUGACAGUAAAUAAUAGGGAUGAAGAAAGUAAAGAAAAUGUAAGGAUGGGUGUGGGUGUGAGAUGAAACAGAGAUGAGAUAAAAGAGGGAGAUGUUUGUGACUGUGAAUUUGCUGUCAGCUUCUAUUAGCGUGAUUGAACCUUCAGGGGAGCUUCAUGUUGAUGUUUGUGUAAUUGUGCAUGUAUGAGUGCACAUCUGUGUGUGUGUGUGUGUGUGUGUGUGUGUGUUCAGAAUCCAUUCCACCUUCAUUUUUUUUUUCUCCAGCACCGUGAAGUCUGUGCACUCUCAAAUAUCAAAUACAGCGAGACAGAGAGAGAGAGAGAGGGCCACAGCAGUCCUCAUAUUACAAUUAUGGUGACAUUCUCCAUGUUUACCUCAUUGUAGAGACACGGAGCAGCUCCACAGACACUCCUGUGACAUUUCAGAGGAUGGAGAGAAAAAUUCGCUCACUCAUGUCGCGCGAAAACCCGUCAGAUUUUAAAAGGGAGUUACACGAGCAGAAGGAAUCUGUUCACUCUGUCUCUGUCAGUCUGCAUCUCUCUGUGGGUCUACUCGUCUUUCUGUCACCAUUUUCCUCCUGCUGCUACUUCCCAUGGACUAUCCAGAUUCUGUGCACCUGUCUGAUACCAGUAAAUAAAAAUGAAGUUUG